ACGCACAAAAUUUUCUUUUAAUGUGGUCAGCAUCUGGUUCAGGCAUUCAAUAAUGUUCUGCCAGUGACUGGCAGGAGAAGUAUCGUCUUUUGAUUCUUCAGAUGUUUUUGAGGCUUCAUUUGAAU